rnacentral:rRNA from 1 species
AAAAACAAAGGCUAUCAUUCUGCUGCUAUUAACUAGCCUGGGUUGAUCUCAAAAAACUAAGCAGGGUGAGAUCCAGUUAGUAUUGGGAGGGAAGACCACUAGGAAAUCCCAGGGCUGUAUAUU